ACGAAAGUCUUCGGACUUUAGUGGCGGACGGGUGAGUAACGCGUGAGAAUCUGCCUAUAGGUUGGGGACAACAGUUGGAAACGGCUGCUAAUACCCAAUGUGCCGAGAGGUGAAAGCUUUAGUGCCUGUAGAUGAGCUCGCGUCCGAUUAGCUAGUUGGUUGGGUAAUGGCUGACCAAGGCGACGAUCGGUAGCUGGUCUGAGAGGAUGAUCAGCCACACUGGGACUGAGACAUGGCCCAGACUCCUACGGGAGGCAGCAGUGGGGAAUUUUCCGCAAUGGGCGAAAGCCUGACGGAGCAAUACCGCGUGCGGGACGAAGGCUUUUGGGUCGUAAACCGCUUUUGUUAGGGAAGAAGAACUGACGGUACCUAACGAAUCAGCAUCGGCUAACUCCGUGCCAGCAGCCGCGGUAAUACGGGGGAUGCAAGCGUUAUCCGGAAUUAUUGGGCGUAAAGCGUCCGCAGGUGGUCUAUCAAGUCUGCUGUCAAAGCAUGGGGCUUAACCCCAUAUCGGCGGUGGAAACUGGGAGACUAGAGUACGGUAGGGGUAGCGGGAAUUCCCAGUGUAGCGGUGAAAUGCGUAGAUAUUGGGAAGAACACCAGCGGCGAAAGCGCGCUACUAGGCCGAAACUGACACUCAUGGACGAAAGCUAGGGGAGCGAAAGGGAUUAGAUACCCCUGUAGUCCUAGCUGUAAACGAUGACAACUAGGUGUUGCGCGUAUCGACCCGUGCAGUGCCGUAGCUAACGCGUUAAGUUGUCCGCCUGGGGAGUACGCACGCAAGUGUGAAACUCAAAGGAAUUGACGGGGGCCCGCACAAGCGGUGGAGUAUGUGGUUUAAUUCGAUGCAACGCGAAGAACCUUACCAGGGYUGACAUGUCGCGAAUUCUUGUGAAAGCGAGAAGUGCCUUAAGGAGCGCGAACACNAGGUGGUGCAUGGCUGUCGUCAGCUCGUGUCGUGAGAUGUUGGGUUAAGUCCCGCAACGAGCGCAACCCUCGUUUCUAGUUGCCAUCAUUUAGUUGGGCACUUUAGAGAGACUGCCGGUGACAAACCCGGAGGAAGGUGGGGAUGACGUCAAGUCAGCAUGCCCUUUACGUCCUGGGCUACACACGUACUACAAUGCUGUGGACAAAGAGUUGCGAGCCAGCGAUGGCAAGCUAAUCUCAUAAACCAUGGCUCAGUUCAGAUUGCAGGCUGCAACUCGCCUGCAUGAAGGAGGAAUCGCUAGUAAUCGCAGGUCAGCAUACUGCGGUGAAUACGUUCCCGGGCCUUGUACACACCGCCCGUCACACCAUGGGAGUUGGCUACGCCCGAAGUCAUUACUCCAACCGAAAGGAGGGGAAUGCCGAAGGCAGGGCUGAUGACUGGGGUGAAGUCGUAACAAGGUAGCCGUACCGGAAGGUGUGGCUGGAUCACCUCCUUU
rnacentral:rRNA from 1 species